rnacentral:rRNA from 1 species
GAGGAGCGCUCGCUGGUGCGCUACCGCGAGAACCCAAUGGCGUACGAGCCUCCAGUGAUGUGCCACUGCUCAACUCCGAGGAAGGCGCCAAGAUGGAUCUCCUGGAGCAGGUUGAACCCUGGUAGAAGGUACUACAGCUGCGUGGAUGCUCUGGUGAGUGUGGUUUUCUACCUAAUUUUCCUCCUUUUUUCUGUGCAAUAG